UGCCGAAAAAUGUCACUUUUCAGAUGGUUUUUGGUAAUAAUGAAAGUGGCCGCAUCCGUGUUCAUCCUCAACCUUUAUAUAUGUUAUGUAUUAUCAUAAAAUACAACUUACAUUUCAAUAUUAAGGAUGAACACGAAUGCGGCCACUUUCGUUUUACACGAAAACCGUCUAAAAUUUAACUAAAAUGCUACAAUUAUGAGGAUUUCAGUACUUUAGCAUGACUUAAUGGUGCUAGUACCGGAUAUAUGUGCAUUGUAUUGUCAAAAACAGCCCAUAUUUAUGUAGCAGAAGCAUUCUACUGUCCAAUAAAUAACUAAAGGUUUACAUUUUAACAAUUUUGUAAAACUGCUAUAUUUUGGACCAAAAAGGGGUCUUACUGAACCUACUCCUUUGUACGAUACUGUAGAUACUUUUCUUUUUAUUCAACCAAAUAAAUCUCAGCCUUGUUUCUGUGCGUUUGAAUCAUGUGUCUUCAGCAGCUUAAAUCAGAUUUCUUUGUAAGCAAUUUAGUGCUGAUUAAAAGGAUGACUAUAGUUUUGCGUUUUUUUACCUUUUCUAUUGUGGAGGGGUGAUGGGGUAGGAAGAGGGAGGGAACAGUGGCUUGGGGUAGUUUUGAAAUUCUAAAAAUUGAUGUUGAUUUUUUCAACAUAAAAUUUUUGUCUAAACAGUUGUCAAUUUCUUUUCGAAAGUUCGAUAGAACACUUAAAAAAUGUAGGACUAUUCUAUGGAAGGCCAAACUAGAAUUUGUCGGAGAAUGAAGAUGAGAUAACCUAAAUUACACUUACAGAAAUAACAUUUUUAAAGUUUUGC
rnacentral:lncRNA from 1 species